UAAUAUCGGAUAACGCAUAUGUGCUGGAAUGCUUUAUGCGUAAAACGGAUUCGUCCGCCCAAGGAUGGGUCUGCGGCCUAUCAGGUAGUAGUGGGUGUAAUGUACCUACUAGCCAACAACGGGUACGGGUUGUGAGAGCAAGAGCCCGGAGAUGGAUUCUGAGACAUGAAUCCAGGCCCUACGGGGCGCAGCAGGCGCGAAAACUUUACAAUGCGGGAAACCGUGAUAAGGGAACACCGAGUGCCAGCAUCAUAUGCUGGCUGUCCAGAUGUGUAAACUACAUCUGUUAGCAAGGGCCGGGCAAGACCGGUGCCAGCCGCCGCGGUAACACCGGCGGCCCGAGUGGUGACCGUUAUUAUUGGGUCUAAAGGGUCCGUAGCCGGUUUGGUCAGUCCUCCGGGAAAUCUGAUAGCUUAACUGUUAGGCUUUCGGGGGAUACUGCCAGGCUUGGAACCGGGAGAGGUAAGAGGUACUACAGGGGUAGGAGUGAAAUCUUGUAAUCCCUGUGAGACCACCUGUGGCGAAGGCGUCUUACCAGAACGGGUUCGACGGUGAGGGACGAAAGCUGGGGGCACGAACCGGAUUAGAUACCCGGGUAUUCCCAUCCGUAAACUAUGCUCGCUAUGUGU
rnacentral:rRNA from 1 species